GGUCUAUGAUGAUAAAUUGAAAGGCUUGUUUCUCAAAACAUUCGUAGUGGCCGCAUAAGAGCUUUCUUCUACGUAGACUUGAGAGAUAAUGCUGUUUUAUCCUUCCUUGGAAGUCAGAGACC
rfam:Spinacia oleracea cultivar SynViroflay scaffold12767.con0006.1, whole genome shotgun sequence.